CCGAAUAGGGGAGCCGGAGGGAAACCGAGUCUUAAUUGGGCGUUAAGUUGCAGGGUAUAGACCCGAAACCCGGUGAUCUAGCCAUGGGCAGGUUGAAGGUUGGGUAACACUAACUGGAGGACCGAACCGACUAAUGUUGAAAAAUUAGCGGAUGACCUGUGGCUGGGGGUGAAAGGCCAAUCAAACCGGGAGAUAGCUGGUUCUCCCCGAAAGCUAUUUAGGUAGCGCCUCGUGAAUUCAUCUCCGGGGGUAGAGCACUGUUUCGGCUAGGGGGCCAUCCCGGCUUACCAACCCGAUGCAAACUGCGAAUACCGGAGAAUGUUAUCACGGGAGACACACGGCGGGUGCUAACGUCCGUCGUGAAGAGGGAAACAACCCAGACCGCCAGCUAAGGUCCCAAAGUCAUGGUUAAGUGGGAAACGAUGUGGGAAGGCCCAGACAGCCAGGAUGUUGGCUUAGAAGCAGCCAUCAUUUAAAGAAAGCGUAAUAGCUCACUGGUCGAGUCGGCCUGCGCGGAAGAUGUAACGGGGCUAAACCAUGCACCGAAGCUGCGGCAGCGACACUGUGUGUUGUUGGGUAGGGGAGCGUUCUGUAAGCCUGUGAAGGUGUGUCGUGAGGCAUGCUGGAGGUAUCAGAAGUGCGAAUGCUGACAUAAGUAACGAUAAAGCGGGUGAAAAGCCCGCUCGCCGGAAGACCAAGGGUUCCUGUCCAACGUUAAUCGGGGCAGGGUGAGUCGACCCCUAAGGCGAGGCCGAAAGGCGUAGUCGAUGGGAAACGGGUUAAUAUUCCCGUACUUGGUGUUACUGCGAAGGGGGGACGGAGAAGGCUAUGUUGGCCGGGCGACGGUUGUCCCGGUUUAAGCGUGUAGGUGUGUGUUCCAGGUAAAUCCGGUUCACUUUAACACUGAGGCGUGACGACGAGGCACUACGGUGCUGAAGCAACAAAUGCCCUGCUUCCAGGAAAAGCCUCUAAGCAUCAGGUAACAUCAAAUCGUACCCCAAACCGACACAGGUGGUCAGGUAGAGAAUACCAAGGCGCUUGAGAGAACUCGGGUGAAGGAACUAGGCAAAAUGGUGCCGUAACUUCGGGAGAAGGCACGCUGACACGUAGGUGAAGUGAUUUACUCAUGGAGCUGAAGUCAGUCGAAGAUACCAGCUGGCUGCAACUGUUUAUUAAAAACACAGCACUGUGCAAACACGAAAGUGGACGUAUACGGUGUGACGCCUGCCCGGUGCCGGAAGGUUAAUUGAUGGGGUCAGCGCAAGCGAAGCUCCUGAUCGAAGCCCCGGUAAACGGCGGCCGUAACUAUAACGGUCCUAAGGUAGCGAAAUUCCUUGUCGGGUAAGUUCCGACCUGCACGAAUGGCGUAAUGAUGGCCAGGCUGUCUCCACCCGAGACUCAGUGAAAUUGAACUCGCUGUGAAGAUGCAGUGUACCCGCGGCAAGACGGAAAGACCCCGUGAACCUUUACUAUAGCUUGACACUGAACAUUGAGCCUUGAUGUGUAGGAUAGGUGGGAGGCUUUGAAGUGUGGACGCCAGUCUGCAUGGAGCCGACCUUGAAAUACCACCCUUUAAUGUUUGAUGUUCUAACGUGGACCCGUUACCCGGGUUGCGGACAGUGUCUGGUGGGUAGUUUGACUGGGGCGGUCUCCUCCUAAAGAGUAACGGAGGAGCACGAAGGUUGGCUAAUCCUGGUCGGACAUCAGGAGGUUAGUGCAAUGGCAUAAGCCAGCUUGACUGCGAGCGUGACGGCGCGAGCAGGUGCGAAAGCAGGUCAUAGUGAUCCGGUGGUUCUGAAUGGAAGGGCCAUCGCUCAACGGAUAAAAGGUACUCCGGGGAUAACAGGCUGAUACCGCCCAAGAGUUCAUAUCGACGGCGGUGUUUGGCACCUCGAUGUCGGCUCAUCACAUCCUGGGGCUGAAGUAGGUCCCAAGGGUAUGGCUGUUCGCCAUUUAAAGUGGUACGCGAGCUGGGUUUAGAACGUCGUGAGACAGUUCGGUCCCUAUCUGCCGUGGGCGCUGGAGAACUGAGGGGGGCUGCUCCUAGUACGAGAGGACCGGAGUGGACGCAUCACUGGUGUUCGGGUUGUCAUGCCAAUGGCACUGCCCGGUAGCUAAAUGCGGAAGAGAUAAGUGCUGAAAGCAUCUAAGCACGAAACUUGCCCCGA
rnacentral:rRNA from 1 species